UACGUAGGGCGCAAGCGUUGUCCGGAAUUAUUGGGCGUAAAGAGCUCGUAGGCGGUCUGUCACGUCUGCUGUGAAAACCCGGGGCUUAACCCCGGGCUUGCAGUGGAUACGGGCAGACUAGAGGCAGGUAGGGGAGAAUGGAAUUCCUGGUGUAGCGGUGAAAUGCGCAGAUAUCAGGAGGAACACCGAUGGCGAAGGCAGGUCUCUGGGCCAUAACUGACGCUGAGAAGCGAAAGCAUGGGGAGCGAACAGG
rnacentral:rRNA from 1 species